UACCAGCACCCCCGAGUGGUCGGGACGAUUAUUGGGCCUAAAGCAUCCGUAGCCGGUUCUGCAAGUCCCCCGUUAAAUCCAGCUGCUCAACAGAUGGGCCGCGGAGGAUACGUCCAGAGCUAGGAGGCAGGAGAGGCAAGCGGUACUCAGUGGGUAGGGGUAAAAUCCGUUGAUCCAUUGAAGACCACCAGUGGCGAAGGCGGCUUGCCAGAAUGCGCUCGACGGUGAGGGAUGAAAGCUGGGGGAGCAAACCGG
rnacentral:rRNA from 1 species